rnacentral:rRNA from 1 species
GCUUCCGGAGCUAACGCGUUAAGUCGACCGCCUGGGGAGUACGGCCGCAAGGUUAAAACUCAAAUGAAUUGACGGGGGCCCGCACAAGCGGUGGAGCAUGUGGUUUAAUUCGAUGCAACGCGAAGAACCUUACCUGGUCUUGACAUCCACGGAAGUUUUCAGAGAUGAGAAUGUGCCUUCGGGAGCCGUGAGACAGGUGCUGCAUGGCUGUCGUCAGCUCGUGUUGUGAAAUGUUGGGUUAAGUCCCGCAACGAGCGCAACCCUUAUCCUUUGUUGCCAGCGGUCCGGCCGGGAACUCAAAGGAGACUGCCAGUGAUAAACUGGAGGAAGGUGGGGAUGACGUCAAGUCAUCAUGGCCCUUACGACCAGGGCUACACACGUGCUACAAUGGCGCAUACAAAGAGAAGCGACCUCGCGAGAGCAAGCGGACCUCAUAAAGUGCGUCGUAGUCCGGAUUGGAGUCUGCAACUCGACUCCAUGAAGUCGGAAUCGCUAGUAAUCGUGGAUCAGAAUGCCACGGUGAAUACGUUCCCGGGCCUUGUACACACCGCCCGUCACACCAUGGGAGUGGGUUGCAAAAGAAGUAGGUAGCUUAACCUUCGGGAGGGCGCUUACCACUUUGUGAUUCAUGACUGGGGUGAAGUCGUAACAAGGUAACCGUAGGGGAACCUGCGGUUG